rnacentral:rRNA from 1 species
GCUGAAAGCAUCUAAGCAUGAAGCCCCCCUCAAGAUGAGAUUUCCCAACUUCGGUUAUAAGAUCCCUCGAAGAUGACGAGGUUAAUAGGUUCGAGGUGGAAGCGUGGUGACACGUGGAGCUGACGAAUACUAAUCGAUCGAAGACUUAAUCAAUUUUUAAA